rnacentral:rRNA from 1 species
CAGCAGCCACGGUAAUACGAAGGGGGCUAGCGUUGUUCGGAAUUACUGGGCGUAAAGGGCGCGUAGGCGGCCAUUCAAGUUAGAUGUGAAAGCCCUGGGCUCAACCUAGGAAUUGCAUUUGAUACUGUUUGGCUUGAGUUCGGGAGAGGUGAGUGGAAUUCCCAGUGUAGAGGUGAAAUUCGUAGAUAUUGGGAAGAACACCGGUGGCGAAGGCGGCAACCUGGUCCUUGACUGACGCUGAGGCGCGAAAGCGUGGGGAGCAAACAGGAUUAGAUACCCGCGUAGUCCCUGUCUCUUAUAC